rnacentral:sRNA from 21 species
CAGAAGGGUCGCUAGGGUUCCGGUCGCACACAUCGAUGCGGCGCUGGUCCGAGAGCAACCGGCCUCAGGCGCGCACGACCGCGCCCAGGCUCCACGGCGGGACAAAAGCCCGGGAGAU